AGGAAAUGACAAGGUGAUGACGUUAAUUUAUGAAUAAGCCCCGGCUAAUUACGUGCCAGCAGCCGCGGUAAUACGUAAGGGGCGAGCGUUGUUCGGGAUUAUUGGGCGUAAAGGGUGAGUAGGCGGAUAUGCAAGUCUAUGCGUAAAAUACCACAGCUCAACUGUGGAGCUAUGCUGGAAACUGCAUGACUAGAGUCUGAUAGGGGAAGUUAGAAUUCCUGGUGUAAGGGUGGAAUCUGUUGAUAUCAGGAAGAAUACCAGAGGCGAAGGCGAACUUCUAGGUCAAGACUGACGCUGAGUCACGAAAGCGUAGGGAGCAAACAGGAUUAGAUACCCUGGUAGUCUACGCUGUAAACGAUGCACACUUGGUGUUAAUUGAGAGAUUAGUACCGAAGCUAACGUGUUAAGUGUGCCGCCUGGGGAGUAUGCUCGCAAGAGUGAAACUCAAAGGA
rnacentral:rRNA from 1 species